UGCAGUUGGACAGGAUCCGUUUGUG
rnacentral:piRNA from 1 species